rnacentral:rRNA from 1 species
GAUGAACGCUGACAGAAUGCUUAACACAUGCAAGUCAACUUUGGCGGACGGGUGAGUAACGCGUAAAGAACUUGCCUCACAGCUAGGGACAACAUUUGGAAACGAAUGCUAAUACCUGAUACUGUGAGAGAGCUUUGCGUCCCAUUAGCUAGUUGGAGAGGUAACGGCGCACAAAGGCGAUGAUGGGUAGCCGGCCUGAGAGGGUGAUCGGCCACAAGGGGACUCAGACACGGCCCUUACUCCUACUGGAGGCAGCAGUGGGUAAUAUUCGACAAUGGGCCAAAGUCUGAUCCAGCAAUUCUGUGUGUACAAUGAAGUUUUCGGAAUGAAAAGUGCUUUCAGUUGGGAAGCGGUACCAACAGAAGAAGUGACGGCGAAAUACGUGCCAGCAGCCGCGGUAAUAC